GAACCAACAGGGAUUGCCUCAGUAACGGCGAGUGAAGCGGCAACAGCUCAAAUUUGAAAUCUGGCCCCCUCGGGGUCCGAGUUGUAAUUUGGAGAAGAUGCUUCGGGUGCGGCCCCGGUCUAAGUUCCUUGGAACAGGACGUCACAGAGGGUGAGAAUCCCGUACGUGCCCGGUGGUCGCCCCCAUGUGAAGCUCUUUCGACGAGUCGAGUUGUUUGGGAAUGCAGCUCUAAAUGGGUGGUAUAUUUCAUCUAAAGCUAAAUAUUGGCCAGAGACCGAUAGCGCACAAGUAGAGUGAUCGAAAGAUGAAAAGCACUUUGGAAAGAGAGUUAAACAGUACGUGAAAUUGUUGAAAGGGAAGCGCUUGCAACCAGACUUGCGCGCGGCCGAUCAUCCGGUGUUCGCACCGGUGCACUCGACCGCGCGCAGGCCAGCAUCGGUUUGGGUGGCUGGACAAAGGCCUCGGGAAUGUGGCUCCCCUCGGGGAGUGUUAUAGCCCGAGGUGCAAUGCAGCCUAUCCGGACCGAGGACCGCGCUUCGGCUAGGAUGCUGGCGUAAUGGUUGUAAGCGACCCGUCUU
rnacentral:rRNA from 1 species